UCAAACUUGCUGAAGACGCCCAGUUACGAAGCAAGGCCUCUCCAACUCCAAACAGCAUGGAGCGAAAAGUGAGCAAGGCAAAAACGAUGAGUAAAAGUGAGCCUGAACUGAAAACUUAUUCUGCGACCGGGAGUAAAGGAAACCCACAUGUGCAGCCAGCGGCAUCUUCUUCUGAAGCUAAAGCUAAAGCAUCAAGUACUGCCGCACUGCCGACGCCUGCACCAAGCAGGAAACAUGCAAAGCCAGCCAACCCAGGCAGCAUUGCUACAAAGCCAUGAAUUCCGGAUUCACAUAUACAAUUUAAACCUCUUGUGUGAAUUGAUGAAGAAGAAGAAUGAUCUGGACAUCAUUUCGUGUGCUUUGUCUAUGAUAUAAUACAUAUACCGAAGACCCUAAUAGUAUGUAAGAGGUUAAUAAAGAGGUGGAAAAGAAAUAUGGAUCGAUAUAUUGCAUGUUUGUAGUUUGUACGUCCUUGAUGAAUUUCGUCGCUGUCCUAAGUUCAUGUAUUGGUAUUGUAUUGAAUUCACAUGUAUUAAUAAAUUUGGAAUGCAUUGAGUUUUAACUUCUUUU